UACAGAGGGGGCAAGCGUUGUUCGGAAUUAUUGGGCGUAAAGAGCUCGUAGGCGGCUCGUCACGUCGGCUGUGAAAACCCGGGGCUCAACCCCGGGCCUGCAGUCGAUACGGGCGAGCUAGAGUUCGGCAGGGGAGACUGGAAUUCCUGGUGUAGCGGUGAAAUGCGCAGAUAUCAGGAGGAACACCGGUGGCGAAGGCGGGUCUCUGGGCCGAUACUGACGCUGAGGAGCGAAAGCGUGGGGAGCGAACAGG
rnacentral:rRNA from 1 species